UGCAGCAGCCGUUCGUUUGUGAUUACUGCGGUUUCUCUCGUUUCACUUCAUCUUGCUACACCAACCAAGCAUUUCAAGAUGUAUACCGCCGCCCAGAAGAUUCACAAGGACCUGAAUGCUGAGCCCACUCAUUUCUAUUUAUACUAAUUCACAUCCUAAUGAAUGAAUGAGGGUGAUUAAUUUAAUUUUAUGGUAGAGAGUCACUCUCUAGAGUUCUCCAUGAAUAUUCUACACAUAUUUUUCCGAUUUCUUAUAUUUUUAAAGGAUUCAUAAUAUAACUAGGGGUAAAUAGCACUUAACCCCCUUGUAGUUUGGAUAUUUUGCUAUGAAUUUAGGCACAUAACUCCCUUGUGGUUUUGAUAUUU